UGGGGAAUAUUGCACAAUGGGCGCAAGCCUGAUGCAGCCAUGCCGCGUGUAUGAAGAAGGCCUUCGGGUUGUAAAGUACUUUCAGCGAGGAGGAAGGCGUUGUGGUUAAUAACCGCAGCGAUUGACGUUACUCGCAGAAGAAGCACCGGCUAACUCCGUGCCAGCAGCCGCGGUAAUACGGAGGGUGCAAGCGUUAAUCGGAAUUACUGGGCGUAAAGCGCACGCAGGCGGUCUGUCAACUCGGAUGUGAAAUCCCCGGGCUCAACCUGGGAACUGCAUCCGAAACUGGCAGGCUAGAGUCUUGUAGAGGGGGGUAGAAUUCCAGGUGUAGCGGUGAAAUGCGUAGAGAUCUGGAGGAAUACCGGUGGCGAAGGCGGCCCCCUGGACAAAGACUGACGCUCAGGUGCGAAAGCGUGGGGAGCAAACA
rnacentral:rRNA from 1 species